rnacentral:rRNA from 1 species
AUUGAACGCUGGCGGCAGGCCUAACACAUGCAAGUCGAGCGAGCGGCGGACGGGUGAGUAAUGUCUGGGAAACUGCCUGACGGAGGGGGAUAACUACUGGAAACGGUAGCUAAUACCGCAUACCAUCGGAUGUGCCCAGAUGGGAUUAGCUAGUGGGUGGGGUAACGGCUCACCUAGGCGACGAUCCCUAGCUGGUCUGUGAGGAUGACCAGGCACACUGGAUCGUAGACGCGGUCCAGACUACUACGGGAGGCAGCAGAGGGGAAUAUUGCACAAUGGGCUCAAGCCUGGUGCAGCCAUGCCGCGUGUAGGAAGAAGGCCUUCGGGUUGUAAAGUACUUUCAGCGGGGAGGCGUUACCCGCAGAAUAAGCACCGGCUAACUCCGUGCCAGCAGCCGCGGUAAUUC